UACGGAGGGUGCAAGCGUUAUCCGGAUUCACUGGGUUUAAAGGGUGCGUAGGAGGGCAGGUAAGUCAGUGGUGAAAUCUCCGAGCUUAACUUGGAAACUGCCGUUGAUACUAUCUGUCUUGAAUAUUGUGGAGGUGAGCGGAAUAUGUCAUGUAGCGGUGAAAUGCGUAGAUAUCUGGAGGAACACCGGUGGCGAAGGCGGCAUCCUGGACCGGCAUUGACGCUGAGGCGCGAAAGCCAGGGGAGCAAACGGG
rnacentral:rRNA from 1 species